CUUGACAAACUUAUAAGAGGUCCAGCCUGCCCAGUGACUCUGUUCAACGGCCGCGGUAUCCUAACCGUGCGAAGGUAGCGUAAUCACUUGUUCUUUAAAUGAGGACUAGUAUGAAUGGCACCACGAAGGUUAUACUGUCUCCUUUUUCUAAUCAGUGAAACUAAUCUUCCCGUGAAGAAACGGGAAUAAAAAUAUAAGACGAGAAGACCCUAUGGAGCUUUAAACAAAUAUACACCUGCCUCUUUACCAAAAAUUUCAGAAGACAAGUAAUUACCCGGGCAUUUUGAUAUAGCGUUUUAGGUUGGGGUGACCGCGGAGCAAAAAAUAACCUCCGCAGCGAACGGGAGUAUUCCCUAAACCAAGGGCCACAACCCCAAGUAUUGAUAAAUCAACACCAAUUGACCCA
rnacentral:rRNA from 1 species